ACUAUUUUGGCAGAAAUAAUGUGGUAAAUUUAGAAUUUACUUAUGUAGUUUAAUACUACAAAUAGUA
rnacentral:tRNA from 1 species